GACGAACGCUGGCGGCGUGCUUAACACAUGCAAGUCGAACGGAAAGGCCCUGCUUUUGUGGGGUGCUCGAGUGGCGAACGGGUGAGUAACACGUGAGUAACCUGCCCUUGACUUUGGGAUAACUUCAGGAAACUGGGGCUAAUACCGGAUAGGAGCUCCUGCUGCAUGGUGGGGGUUGGAAAGUUUCGGCGGUUGGGGAUGGACUCGCGGCUUAUCAGCUUGUUGGUGGGGUAGUGGCUUACCAAGGCUUUGACGGGUAGCCGGCCUGAGAGGGUGACCGGCCACAUUGGGACUGAGAUACGGCCCAGACUCCUACGGGAGGCAGCAGUGGGGAAUAGUGCACAAUGGGCGGAAGCCUGAUGCAGCAACGCCGCGUGCGGGAUGACGGCCUUCGGGUUGUAAACCGCUUUCGCCUGUGACGAAGCGUGAGUGACGGUAAUGGGUAAAGAAGCUCCGGCUAACUACGUG
rnacentral:rRNA from 1 species